CGUUUCCGCCAUCAGCCAGCCCCACCUCUCUCCAGGCCCGCCCUCAGUUCCCCCACACCGCCUAGAAGAGAAAACCUUGAAGUCUCUGACGGGAGGACCCAGAGCUGGAGCCAAGAAGCCCCUCAAUAUCACCAUCAAACAUUUCAAGCUCCAGGAAAGGCAGGUCUCCAAGUUUUUAAAAAGAUAGAACUUUCUGCCCCAUCCGUUCUACUCUCUUCCUUCCUAGUCUCCCAUGGUCUGAGGCACUGACUACUUGAAGGUCCUCAGGAUUCUACUUUCUCAAGUCCAUCUGACUGAUUCCUAUUGUUUGUCAAUCCCCGGAGGAGAAUAAGGGGAAAGAGGGGGUCUCCAAAGAAGGAAGACCAAGGGACCAGAAAAGUUGCCCUCUGGGGCCUCGGGCAGGGGGACAAAACUGGAACCAUCAGGGAACAUGAGUGAGUUUUGGCACAAACUGGGCUGCUGUGUGGUAGAGAAACCCCAGCCGCAGAAGAAGAAGAGAAGGCGGAUUGACCGGACCAUGAUUGGAGAACCUAUGAAUUUUGUUCAUCUAACACACAUUGGCUCUGGAGAGAUGGGGGCAGGAGAUGGACUAUCCAUGACAGGUGCUGUACAAGAGCAAAUGAGAUCCAAGGGAAACCGGGACAGGCCGUGGAGCAGCUCCAGGGGCUUAUAGCUCUAAGGGAGAUGGUUUUGCCAUCUUGGAAUCCCCAGUCCUGUGCUCAGCUAAGAAGAAAUGCUGCCCCUUCCUGAACCAAUGACCCCAGGAUCUUCCCUUCUGUCUUCCCUAUCAGUGUCUAAAAGGGCUUGGGAGACUGGACUCCCCACUAUACCACCCUGGUCAAGCCCCUCCUGGAGAUGGGGUCAAGGCAGCAGGACUGACCAAAUGACCACUGGCUAGCCAGCUCUAGCCUUGGAUACCCAACUGACCUGAGAUAGGAGCCCUUACACCCACCCCUGGGAGGAACCAAGGGUGAAGUCUAGGUUCCUUAAUGAUGGUCUGGGCUCUGGGCUGCUCUUUAACUUGGACCUGUAACUUAGGAAUCCUCUUCUUGGAGUAUAUGGGUUGCAUUGCCAAAGCUAAGGCCAGCUUUGCUGAUUGCUACCUACAUCCACAACCUCUCCAGCUCCCUUCCUGGACUGAAAGCAAAUUUCAGGCAAGGGGCUGGGGAAGACAACCACCUACUUCUCUCAUUUUCCCCCUUUGGACUCUAGCUCCUCAGCUCACAGCAUUUCAGCAUCUAUCUCUGAAUACCUAGGGCCUUUUAACCCUGGUUUCUAUAGCAUUAGUAUCUCCCCACCAAUUAUCCCCUCCCCCACCUUUUUUUUUUUAAUUAAAAAGUUAAUUUAAGACCAGUUCUCUUAAUUACUCCCCACCCAUGCCAGGAUCCAUCACAAUGCCCAAUACAUCUGUCUCAGGAUUGGGAAUUGGGAGAAACCGCCUGUGUGCUAGACAUUUGUCCUUCUGUCAAAUCCUCAGGAUCAGGCUUGACCUCCAUUGACCUCCCCUGCUGGCACAGGUGAGGGAAAGAAUGGAGAAAGGUGGUGGGACCUGGGACUACAGAAGGAAGUUAUACCUCAGGGAGGACCUCCUGGAGAAAGAUUAAGGGCUACCUUGGAAUUCUUAGGCGGAAACCUCAUGAAUACGGUUGCUUGGGGGCAGGGUUCUGCUCAGACUAUAAAUCCUAGCAGAUUUGAGGUUUGAGAAUGUGUUUUUCUUCCCAAGUAAUUUUCUUCCUCAAAUUCUGGCCCAUCUUAGAGUCUCUGCAGCUGGGCUGCGGACAGACAUGGAGUCCCUUGUAGCCAGGGUUAGCAAGAUUCUACACCUUUCCAAGCCAUGCAACUUCAUUUUACUAUCUGUAUGUGUGUGUAUCCAAUGUUUCUGUGAUUGGUGUAUGUUUGUGUGAUGUAGUUAUUCUUGCUAAUUGGAAGAGAGGUCCCAGAGGACUAAGACCUUAGUAGAGUACCCUGGGAUGGGAAGGGCCAGUGCAGCGGUGAAAACUCCAUAUGUUGUUCCCCUUCUGUGCAAUACCAGACCCAGGUAAGGGUUAGGAUGAAUUCUGAGAAGCCCCCCACCUGACAAAAGGGGCCAAUCUUGUGUGAAAGAGCAAAGCCGUGGGUGUCUUGAUACCUCCAAGCUUUCUUUGGUAUUCUCUGCUUUAUUCCCUUUCUGGAGGGGUAGGGAACUAGAUUGAGGAAGGCAUAAGCCAAACCUAAACCUGACCCUCCACUCAACCAAGGAAAGCAGGCAAGGAGUUCUCUGGCUCCGUGGUCACCCGCGUGGCAAGAAGGAGGCACUAAGUGAGGAACUUUUAGGAGCAUGUGAUCUGAGACUCUGAGUCUUCCAUCUUUGUAAGUACUUUGCCUCCAUCUACCCUGACUGGGGCCCUUGUUUUUCAAAACUUUGCUCUUUCUACUUUUUUACUGUCUCUUUAGAUCAAUGGUUGACAUAGCACAAUAAUUCCCUAGCUCACUCUUGGUUCAUCUUUCUGGUGGUUUUGAGGGGUAGCCUGGGUUCUACCCUGAAAGCUGAGUAGAAACUUGGUUCUGGAACGGUGAGGUACUGUCUGGUCAGCUGGGUCUGUGAACAUUGUUGGUUUUCAUCUCUAGUCUUGGGCCACACUCCUUUUUUUCUUCCCUUUUGAGAUCUCUUACCAUUGGCCUUCCUUUUUAUGGAACUCACUUGAUGUUACUUAUGCCUUCCCCAUCACUUCUACCAACUUCCAAAGGUGAUUGGGGUGGGUUUGAGAGUCUUAAUUUAUCAAAAACACACAAAAAAACUGCCAGACUGUUAAAUACAUUUUUUCAAAUAAAAAAAUUCUCCAGCAAAAAGCUUCAU